CGUAGAAACUUUGUUCAGGAAAAUUUCUCAGUAGCUCAGAGGACAGGCUGCUUUUUACACAACCUUGUAAGAGAAUGUCUGUCAAUGCUUUCAGCAGAAUUUAGAAACACAACACUUCCUAAACAGAUAUUUUGAGGCUGUGAGGUUGAACGUUUGAGAGUAUAUCUGUGUGUUUGUUUGUGGUCUUUCUGUUUCUAGGUGGAAGCUGAAUUAGUGAGGAUGACUCCUGCUCCUGUCAUCUCUAAGCUUCUCACACAUCUUUACCUGCACAUGAGGAAAAUCACUCCUGUAGAAUGCAGAUGUUCAGAGGGAGAUGAUGCCACAUCUGGUCCAGCUGAUGGAAGGUCUUGAAGUUCUCUGACUGGCCUCGACUGAAGAUGGUCGUCUCACUGGAUUUAAGGUUCAGAUGCUCAGUAACAAACUCCACCAAUGAGCCAACAGGGAAGCUUUAGGUUUAUUAAAUGUUGCUAUGAAGGUAUCGCUGUUUUUCUUUGUGAAUGCAAUGUGCUCCAACUGAAAGUUGAAUUAGAACUUAGAAGUAAAUCCUUCCAUCUGAAAGGAUUUAGUUGCAUUAAUAACCUCAUAACAUUCUAAUUUUUAUUCCAGUCUUGGUUGGAAAUAGAAUCUCUGUAUUGAUUCAGGUAAAAACUGAACUUCACACCAUGUUGAAGCAAAACAACCAGAUGAAAACUGUGAUGGUGUUGGAUUGUCAGACCGUAAUGUUGCAGCUCAAAGCAGCUUUUCUAGCUCAGUUCAUUCUGACAUUCAGCUAUGAAUCAACACAGCAGAUGGUGAUCCAUGCUGUGGAAGUCUCACAUCUCCUGAUUUAAUGGAGCUGCUUUGCACUUUUUACACUGUUUAUUCACCAACACUUUAUUUAAUAAAAGUCCCAUCUAGUUUUUAUGAGGAUUGUGAUGUUUUAAUUUCUCUGUGAAUAACUGCAGUCUAAUGGAACAGCUGGAGUUGUAACAUCUGUCCUGAUAUUGAUCAUGAAGUAUUUAUCAGAAUACUUAUGGUUAGCAGUCAUCCCUGAAGUUUUACAUUAAAAUCUUUACUUGUGUUGUGAACUUUGGUAAGAAGCAGAAACGUUAGUGUUGCCAUGGAUACAUGAGUGUUAAAUUCUGUCCAUGUUUCCAUUUUGGGAAAUGCAGUCCAGUUCCAGAAUGUGGAGGAAUUUAGUCUCACAAUCACAGACAACAAAUAUUAUCUGAAAGUCGAGUUAUUGUUGUUUAUCAGCACAAUACAAAAAGAUUAAUGUUAGAAAUAUUCCAGUUAAGACUCUAGAAUAUCAUGAUUUAUGUAAAUUUACCUCAAUAAUAUGAAUGUUCAGGUUAAGAUUGCACAGUGAUAUUUAUUAUGUAAGUUUAGCUGAUUAAAGUUUAUGACUCUGCACUACAAUAUUAUUUAAAUUGACAUCAUUAUUAUAAUUUAGGGUCAGACCCUACAGUAUUGAGAUUAAGAAAUCAAAUAUUCUAUAAAAUGUAAAUACACUGAACUCAUUUGGAUAUAUUUAAGUGAGACUCUACAAUAUUAUUUGACACAAAUCUAUCUAAAUCAAAAUUUUAAUAAUUUUCAUGCCAAACAUUUACUGGACUGAUUUAAAUAUUAAAAUCACUCCUUUCUAAUCCUCUGCUGUACUGUUCAAACCUGAGGCCUUAAAUAGAAACACACAAGUAUCUGUUUGAAGGAACUUCUGCAGAGUCCUGGUUCCAGAACAUGAUGAUAGAAUUAUAGACAAACUUUAACAAAAGCUGCCUGAGAGUUUACAGGUUUUUAUGUUAGAUUUCUUCAGUAAUUUAAUGAGAGUUAUCAGCAAAAAUCAAGUGUUCAUUUGAUGAACUUCAUUUCCUAAAACAUCCAGAAUUGGAGCUCAUAUCUUUGGCAGCUGUAAAGUUUCUGCUCCUUCAAAGUUCACAACACAAUGAAUGAAUUCCUAAAACACUCUCAAUGCUGGAGAGCAGUUUGAUGCUGAAGCAGUGACCAGUUUUUCUGUUUCUUCUCUGGAGAUGCACAAUGAGGGACGUCUGCAGAGACUGAGAAAGAGUCUCACCACAUCCUGACAUGAGGAAAAAGACUUUAUUGAAGACUACAAUGAGAAAAACUAUCAGACAGCAGACGGCUGCAUUCAAGAGAAGAAGACCAUCAAACAUCCACAUCAGCUGAUGGAGGUCCAAGAGUCUCACCAAACAACCAACCUACAGAGUGAAGACCUCAAAUCUGAUUGGACGGCGUCCUAUUCAGCCACACGUGUGAACAAAUGCCUCUAAGCUGAUUUAUUUUCUAAAAUAAAUCUAGUUUGAGUCCUAAUCUAUGCCUGUGUGUUUGCUUCUUUACACUGCUGUUAACAGUUUAGGCUGUUAGAUUGUUCCAGAUAAGACAAGUACAAGAUACUUCAGAGCCGUUCUACCACGAGCCUGACAGGAAGAACUCCAACAGCUACUGAAUGUUCCUGUGGUCCCCUCAAGGCUACAGGAGGAGCCCUACGAGGACGAGCCGGUCCACCUGAUGGAGGCCAGUCGCUGCGGUUCAAAGCCAACACCGACUACGUGGACUUCUACUGGACCACACGGAGGCCUUCAAACCGGACCAACAAG